rnacentral:sRNA from 1 species
GAAUUUGAGGGUGACCUGGCUAUGACAAGCCACCCCACUGAUUACCAGUUUUUUUUAACUGAUCUUAUUGGCUUGCUGGGUGUCCCCUUUCUCCUCCACAGUUCUCUGUCUGUCCUUCCUCAAGCAGAAUGCUCGGUCAAAAAGGACUUUUUAUUUUUUUAAACAUGGAACACUAUUCCUUGUUGAUUUCUGUUUAGGGAAGUUUCAAAUUCCUGGGUUAUCUGAACCUCCUAGAAUUGAA